rnacentral:rRNA from 1 species
GUCCCAGUUCGGACUGGAGUCUGCAACCCGACUCCACGAAGUUGGAUUCGCUAGUAAUCGCGCAUCAGCCAUGGCGCGGUGAAUACGUUCCCGGGCCUUGUACACACCGCCCGUCACACCAUGAGAGUUGGGAAUACCCCGAAGCCUGUGAGCUAACUUAUAGAGGCAGCAGUCGAAGGUAGAAUCAAUGAUUGGGGGUGAAGUCGUAACAAGGUACC